rnacentral:rRNA from 1 species
UACCAGCUCUUCGAGUGGUGUGGAUGUUUAUUGGGCCUAAAGCAUCCGUAGCUGGCUGGGCAAGUCCCCUGUUAAAUCCACCGAUUUAAUCGUUGGAGUGCGGGGGAUACUGUUCGGCUAGGGGACGGGAGAGGCAGACGGUAUUUUCGGGGUAGGGGUGAAAUCCUAUAAUCCCGAGAAGACCACCAGUGGCGAAGGCUGUCUGCUAGAACGCGCCCGACGGUGAGGGAUGAAAGCUGGGGGAGCGAACCGGAUUAGAUACCCGGGUAGUCCCAGCUGUAAACGAUGCAGGCUAGGUGUUUGGACGGCCACGUGCCGUUCUAGUGCCGCAGGGAAGCCGUUAAGCCUGCCGCCUGGGGAGUACGGCCGCAAGGCUGAAACUUAAAGGAAUUGGCGGGGGAGCACCACAGGGGGUGAAGCUUGCGGUUU